AGGAGCGUAGCUCAAUUUGGCAGAGCAGCUGAUUCCAAAUCAGCAGGUUGGGGGUUCGAGUCCCUCCGCUCCUG
rnacentral:tRNA from 1 species